UCCAAGUAUGGAAGCUUCUAUUGCAAUUGGAUUUGAAGGUGGAGCUCUUUGCUUCUGGAUUUUGUUGCUUUUAAUUCAAGUCUGCUUUUGUUAGGUUUAUUGUAUAGCAGUUUCCAACAACAAUGAAUGAAGUAAAACUUUAAAACCAGAGCUCCUCUACUUCGUCACAGCGCUGAGAUUGUCGCUCAAGUGGAGAAGAAAAAAUUCCCCUGUGGAUCUUCAGAGGUCUGGAGGAAAGAUAUGCUGCUGGAUCCUUCAUUGGCUGCUGCCCCGGAUGGCUUUGGUGUGGCAGUGCUUAAGGAGAGGAGCUGACCUGGCUGACAGAAAAGCUUAGAAAAUACUGCAACAGCCAUUCCUGCAGCAGGGAGUUGGAAGAGAAGAUGAACUGAAUGAAACCAGGUAGCCACUGUAUGUGUUUACCAUCCUUAGGAGAGAAGAGCAAAUACGGGCCAGCAAGAUGAUCACUGAGGAGUGGGGAGUCAAGACUUUGUCAGCAAGGCUGAGUACUAAGUGUGGAUGCUUUUGUGGAGUGGAACAAAAAAGCUGUUGUCAAAACUACUGAUGUAGCCUCGUCCUUAUCAGUACUCCUAUCAAGUUAUUUUAUAGAUUAAACUGGCUGCUACCCAGGAGAACCAUAAGCAAAGCUCUGUGGAAAUUUUUCACUGCAGCAAAGCUGACAAAGAGGAAAAAGGAAAAGCGUGUGACAAUAUUUUUACAAAAGCAAAAGAUGCACUUCAAGGUAGAACAGGAACUCCUUUUCACAUGACUGUUUCCUGGCGGUGAUGUCCAGCAUUCUCUAGCUUGCAGGGUAUUUCUCAGACACAUCCUUUGACCUUUCAUCUUGAGAAGCUACAAAUGCCUGCACUGGACUGAGACAGCAUCAGUGUUUUGACAUGGGGAGAAGUCUUGUGAAUGACAGUACUCAUCAGUCCAAAGGAAUUAUGUCUGCAUUAAAAAGAGUAUGGAUUGGUUUUCUCAGGUGCUUCAGAAGUUUGAGGAGAGAAGGAUUAAAUAAAUGUAAGCAGUAACAGAGCUCAAAGUCUGGAGUUCUGUCUUUGUGUCGGAGUUUGUGACCAAAGUCUCUGCCUGGGUCUUGUUCCUUUUCAGAACUGCUUAGUACACAGGGUU